rnacentral:rRNA from 1 species
GACGAACGCUGGCGGCGUGCCUAAUACAUGUAAGUCGAGCGGAUCUUCAUUAGCUUGCUUUUGAAGACCAGCGGCGGACGGGUGAGUAACACGUGGGCAACCUGCCUGUAAGACUGGGAUAACUUCGGGAAACCGGAGCUAAUACCGGAUAAUCCUUUCCCUCACAUGAGGGAAAGCUGAAAGACGGUUUCGGCUGUCACUUACAGAUGGGCCCGCGGCGCAUUAGCUAGUUGGUGAGGUAAUGGCUCACCAAGGCGACGAUGCGUAGCCGACCUGAGAGGGUGAGCGGCCACACGGGGACUGAGACACGGCCCAGACUCCUACGGGAGGCAGCAGUAGGGAAUCUUCCGCAAUGGACGAAAGUCUGACGGAGCAACGCCGCGUGAGCGAUGAAGGCCUUCGGGUCGUAAAGCUCUGUUGUCAGGGAAGAACAAGUAUCGGAGUAACUGCCGGUACCUUGACGGUACCUGACCAGAAAGCCACGGCUAACUACGUGCCAGCCGCCGCCGUAA